UUUAGGAUUUACAAUGACCAUCUAAUGAUCAAUUUUGUAAUUGAAAUUCAAAUCUCAUUUCUUUACAGAGCUUAUACUGGAGAUGCACAAGGACCUACUCGAGUCCAACAGACUAUACCUUAUUAUGGUAUGUUCUGUCAUUGGCAUUGGUUGUGUAUUGCUUUCUCUGGCAAUAAUAUUCUUGGCACGGAAGAUCGCCAAGUUAAGCAGUGAGAAGCCUGACAUAAUCGCAGCUGAAGAAGGUAAAUAUCUGAGUAAAUGAUGAUUCUAGCUGGACAGGGGUAUCAUGUGGAAGUAGAUACUUAAUUUGGCUGCUCUUGUAGGACUUCCUAAAUAACUUUACCAGAACAUUUGGAAGACAAUCUCACAGGCUGAGCGAGAGGAUGAGAAAAAGAUUAAAUUGAAACCAGGAAGACUAAAUAUUUAUUUGUUGAGAAAGUCGUAGAGAAGGUACAGAGUUACUGACACAGAGGAAAAGAAGGAAGGAAGGAGGAAAGGAAAAUGGAGACAAGAAGCGGAGAGAAGAAUAAAAAGAAGGGAAGAGGAGGGAGGCAUCACAAUAAAUGGUCUUCUAUGGAUUAGACAAG